rfam:Daphnia pulex DAPPTscaffold_136_Cont5516, whole genome shotgun sequence.
UCCCAUAUUGUCUGGUGGUUAGGAUACCUGGCUCUCACCCAGGAGGCCCGGGUUCAACUCCCGGAAUGGGAA